rnacentral:tRNA from 1 species
GCCCGGGUGGCGGAAUGGUAUACGCGCAACACUUAAAAUGUUGUGAGCGAAAGCUCUUGUCGGUUCGACUCCGACCCCGGGCA